rnacentral:lncRNA from 1 species
CUCAGCCUUUGCUCCUGCGGCCCCGCUGGACGAUGCCAUUCUGUCCACCCUGGAGCGCGGUGCCCUGCUUUGAAACCCGGGGCCGGAGCGUCCUAGCUGGCACUCUUUACUCUUUGGAACAUACCCUGGCGUUGUGCUUAAAACCUGUUUCUGUGCAUCAAAAUUACAUGAACAUGAAAACGUUUUAAUAUCAUGGAUUUGGGGGAGCUUAGUGACCGGAAGGGGGCGGGCGCGGUUUCUGAUAGCUGAUUGUGUUCUCCUGAUUUGGGGUGUUCCCUUUGAGAGGUGUCAUUUCUGUGGGUCUUUUAGGGUCCAUUACAAUUUUUAUUAAUAACGAGGAGAGAAAAAAGCAGAUGUUCACCAGGUUGCAGUCGAACCUUAGCAAUAUUUAUUUGACUAUUGUGUGCUACAAACCAGGCACACGGGAAGAGAAGAGAGAGCUGCUCGCCCACCCGCCCGCAAGGGGCUGAUGGUGUCGUGGGGAGGGACAGACAAUAAACCAGGAACACGAUAAAAGGGUGAGCGACUGUGGUCACCGGCUGGGAGAGAGCAGCUGGCAAAGUCCACACUCUCUCCCAUCUCUGUACUCUCCUCUGCCUCUCUCUGCCUAGUCCCCUGCCCCCCGCCCCCAGGGCAGCAACCAGUCUACUCUCUGCUGGGUGUCUCGCCUUGCCAUCCCACCCAGGACCCAUCGCGACAAGGUCAAUAGUACCAGGACGUGCAUUUGUCGGGCAUCUUCACUCGAGCAGGGGGUUUGUCUAUUGCAAUAGUUCUCAAAGUGUGGACCAAGGACACCUGGAGUUUCCUGAGACCCUUCCUCUGAAUUGGGUACUCUGGCAUUUAAGCUAAGCCUGGAGCAGUCCAAAUGGGAUUCACGUCUACAGAAGGGAAUCACGGCUAGGAACGUCAGGUCUGAGGUGCAGAGGUGCGAUUCUGAAAGCCAGUCUCAAGCAGGAAUUAUAUGAACCCUGUACUUUAUCCAGUUGGGCAGCCAGAGCUGCAGUCUAAACACGUUAACGGAAAGGUACUGUGAAUACUGCUAAAU